rnacentral:rRNA from 1 species
GACGAACGCUGGCGGCGUGCUUAACACAUGCAAGUCGAACGGAAAGGCCCUGCUUUUGUGGGGUGCUCGAGUGGCGAACGGGUGAGUAACACGUGAGUAACCUGCCCUUGACUUUGGGAUAACUUCAGGAAACUGGGGCUAAUACCGGAUAGGAGCUCCUGCUGCAUGGUGGGGGUUGGAAAGUUUCGGCGGUUGGGGAUGGACUCGCGGCUUAUCUGCUUGUUGGGGGGGUAGUGGCUUACCAAGGCUUUGACGGGUAGCCGGCCUGAGAGGGUGACCGGCCACAUUGGGACUGAGAUACGGCCCAGACUCCUACGGGAGGCAGCAGUGGGGAAUAUUGCGCAAUGGGCGGAAGCCUGAUGCAGCAACGCCGCGUGCGGGAUGACGGCCUUCGGGGUGUAAACCGCUUUCGCCUGUGACGAAGCGUGAGUGACGGUAAUGGGUAAAGAAGCACCGGCUAACUACGUG